rnacentral:rRNA from 2 species
AGAACGAACGCUGGCGGCAGGCCUAAUACAUGCAAGUCGAACGCACUCUUCGGAGUGAGUGGCAGACGGGUGAGUAACGCGUGGGAACCUUCCCAAUGGUACGGAAUAACUCCGGGAAACCGGUGCUAAUACCGUAUAAGCCCCUCGGGGGAAAGAUUUAUCGCCAUUGGAUGGGCCCGCGUCGGAUUAGCUAGUUGGUAAGGUAAUGGCUUACCAAGGCUACGAUCCGUAGCUGGUCUGAGAGGAUGAUCAGCCACACUGGGACUGAGACACGGCCCAGACUCCUACGGGAGGCAGCAGUAGGGAAUCUUGGACAAUGGGCGAAAGCCUGAUCCAGCCAUGCCGCGUGAGUGAAGAAGGCCUUAGGGUUGUAAAGCUCUUUUGGCGGGACGAUAAUGACGGUACCCGCAGAAUAAGCCCCGGCUAACUUCGUGCCAGCAGCCGC